AUUGAACGCUGGCGGCAGGCCUAACACAUGCAAGUCGAGCGGAUGAGUGGAGCUUGCUCCAUGAUUCAGCGGCGGACGGGUGAGUAAUGCCUAGGAAUCUGCCUGGUAGUGGGGGACAACGUUUCGAAAGGAACGCUAAUACCGCAUACGUCCUACGGGAGAAAGUGGGGGAUCUUCGGACCUCACGCUAUCAGAUGAGCCUAGGUACGAUUAGCUAGUUGGUGAGGUAAAGGCUCACCAAGGCGACGAUCGUUAACUGGUCUGAGAGGAUGAUCAGUCACACUGGAACUGAGACACGGUCCAGACUCCUACGGGAGGCAGCAGUGGGGAAUAUUGGACAAUGGGCGAAAGCCUGAUCCAGCCAUGCCGCGUGUGUGAAGAAGGUCUUCGGAUUGUAAAGCACUUUAAGUUGGGAGGAAGGGCAGUAAGUUAAUACCUUGCUGUUUUGACGUUACCGACAGAAUAAGCACCGGCUAACUUCGUGCCAGCAGCCGCGGUAAGAC
rnacentral:rRNA from 1 species